rnacentral:lncRNA from 1 species
CUCUGCCUGGGAUAAGAAAGCGAUUCGCCAUGCAUUGCAGACAUCAAAGGCAAGCAGCAAAUUGCCACUCGGUGCUUCUGCUGGACCUCUGGCCCCACCACUACACUCUACACUCUGCAUUUCUAUACAUACAACAAGCAAUCUCAUGGGAAAGUGAGCUUGCCACUGAUGAAGGUGAAACAAUGUAAUAGGACAACUGCCUGGAACACUGAAGAAUCACAAAUUCAGUCCCCAAAAGAAGACAGUGACAAACCUGUUCUAUAUCUAUCAAGAAAAUGCCAUGCAGAUAUUCGUGUAGCUACCAGCAGUUGACCCAACUCACAAAACCAAAANCCACACAUUUUCUGCCAAAUGGCACUCAGAACAACACAAAACAAACAUGGUUCUACUUUGCUGAAAUUAAUCACGGAGACAAACAGAAUGUAAAAGAAGUGAAGUUUGAGGAAUGCAACUUUAAAAAAAAAGAAAGGAUGAGGAAGAAUUUGCACAGAAAGAGGGAUGUCUGAAGGAUAUACAUCUCUAGCUUGUUGGCAUGUUUUAUUACCAUAUGCAGAAUAAAUUCUUCCUUUAUCUUGCA